GAACGCACAGAACGGGAAGAUCCUCGAAACAAGCUGUGCACAGGGCUCGUGAAGAACGGCUCUCUUCGACCCG
rnacentral:sRNA from 1 species